CUUGAAUUGAUUCCACGGGGCAUCUUUGAUUGUUGAAACUUUUCGGCGAUGACUUACUCCAAGUUGAUACUUUGGCUGAGGCGCAAUCAUGAAGCACAAAGUAGAUACAGUGAAUGGCAAAUCAAUUUGUAAAUUGUUAGUUCAACAAGAUCGUUUUACGGUCUGCAGCGUUUCAAUGAAAGAAGCAAAAAAAAAGAUUUCUUCUGCUGAAACCAAUGUUGACGAGGUAGAAUUUUUGCUCCAUCAUGAUCCUGUCGUGGCGGCGGCGGUUUUUUGUCAACAAAGGUUGGAAUUGAAUUUCAUCAAAUUGAAUUUCAGCAGAACCGAAACAUUCCGAGAGAUGUCAGUAUUGUGAAUGACACGAUGCUAAGCCCUCGACAUAGCGAAGCCGAUUGAAACACGAAAAGUUCUACGAGAAGUCAAAUCAGGAUAAGUGACA